rnacentral:rRNA from 1 species
GGAGUGAGGGCGUGAGCGCGCAGCGGCGGAUCGACGAGGGGGGCGGCGUACACGGGCGGAAGCGCAGCAGCGGAGGCGAGCGGGAGCGCAACACCGGAGGCGAGCAGGCGCGCGGCACCGGAGGCAAGCGGAGCACAGCAGCGGGAAGAAGCGAGGGACGUCGGUGACGGCAACGACGGUGGUGCCGGUGGUGGCGCGAGAAUAGGGGGGGAGGGACGAGCAGAGGUCAGUGGCUCGACCAACGGCGGCGCGACGAGAGGACGGAGCUGCACGGCCAGACCGCCUCGAGCAACAGAGUCGCUUGGCGCUGUAGUCGAGGCUCCUGCGUCGCCGCUCCGACGUUUCCAUGCCCGGGUUGUUCGACCUCACCGGGCUCGCAGGUUAGAGUUGGUAGUGGGCCUUGGGAUCGGAAGGGGGGAAGGGUACCGCGCCCUACGGGAGGUUCUCCUCGCAGGCUACGCACCUCCGGUACCUCAUCGACGAACCAAGUUCCCGUACGGAACCGACGAGGGAUACAACUCGCACACCUGCCCGGUCUAAGUCGCGACCCCACGUAAGAAAGACAUCCGUUGCCUUAAUAAUCCGGGAACACACGACUUAAACCGAGCUGUGUAAAUGUUCUGCUCUUGUUGGAGUGCUCCUCCGUGAUAAGUAACGUUGUCACAACGGAGAACUAGGUUGCCGGGUCUAGUAAGUCCAACCGCGGGAGCGCGUUUCUAAGGGUAGGAGAGACGGGAGCUACUGGUCAAACCACCGCGGCACUGGUCGUCGUUGCCGGAGAGGAGCCGUUCGUAUCUGGCGUCCCAGCAGAAGGAGAGACGGGCGAAGGUGUGGCAGUACCUAUAGAGUCUGGAGUAGGAGCUCUCCGAGGAGAUGGUCCAUGUUUGUAAGUCUAAGUCCGGCAGAGGGAGAGGGAGACGUAGAGACAUUUUUAUCCCAUUCGUAAAGAAGCCUUUAUGUGCGACAAGACUAAACCAAGGAAGGCAUAACUGGACACGUUUUAUCCUAGUUACUUGGGUAACCAACAUUAGUUCUCAUAUUGCUAUACAAGAGAAGUACCACGAAAUGGAGUUCUACAAACUAUAUACGAGUAGAACAUGCAAAUUGAAAAAACCAUUAAUGACUUAACAAAGGAAAAUGUCACAAGACGGUCCCUCCUUCACUUGAGUGUUUUUAUACUCGGUACACUGUACUAGACGAACGUCGUUUAGAAUGAACGAGGGAUAACCCUUAAAAAGAAAAGUGUACAACAACUCACUACCCGUUUGUCAUUACUACGUUCAGCUCACUAACUAUUAGUCAUAUAAUAUCCAGGACCAAAGUAACAAAUUUCAGUAUUACGUCAGUACGAACUCCACCUACACAUAUUUUAAGACAUUGCUGACAUACAACGACGGAUGUACACGAACUCAACAAGUACAAUAGGAUUUACCUAUAAAGAUCUUCUAAUUAAAUCGGUUAUCCUACGGACCAGUACGAACUAUACGAGACAUAGUACUAAGUAUAAAUUCACAAAAGAGUAAGCAACCAUGUAUCUAUAUGAUUUUUCGAAAAUCGAAACACUCACAGUUUAUCAGAUACUAACGAACAUGGAAAGGUAAACGUAAACUAUUUCAAAGAUAUAGAUAUACAAUGAGUACACAGUACGAUCUAUCUUAGUGAAGAGAAAACCUAUUAACAGUAAUCGUACGGUGAAAGAAGACCUAUUAAGUAUUACCGGUGGCCGCUCGACGUAUAGCAAGUAUAAGGAAUCGCCGUAAUACCAUGAUUGACGGUAAAAAAUUGAAAGAAAACCUAUUAAGUAUUACAGGUGGCCGCUGGACGUAUAACAAAUAUAAGGAAUCGCCGAAUAUCAUGAUUGACGGUUAAAAAACAUUUUAUUAAAAGAAAUAUACGAAUAACAAUAACAAAGUAGAGUGUUAAAAGAAGAGUUAACUAGACGUAUAACAUCCGAUAAAGGAGACGGUCUUACUUUCCUCUUAUACGACUCUCAACACGUCUAUCGGAAGUGCGUACUACUCUCAGAGUAACGAAAUGGCUGUUCUUCGUUACCUUCCGCUACGGUGACGUCAAAUACGCGAGUCCAAAGAGGCGAAGACAAACCGGAGACAGUCAACAUAAAACUCGUAACCGUAGAGAUCGGCUCGACGCGUUCGUCUUACGACUCGUCCUCGUCGAGCCCCUAAUUCGUUUCCAGAUUUUACAACUUAGAGGGUUAUUUCACCAUCACAUAUAGAGUCGAAGUGAGUUGUAGAAGAUGGAGUUGGUCUUAAGUCGAUGAUUUGUGUAGGUCAAUUAGGUACUUAUUAACACUUGGAGACCAUAAAGAGAGAGACGGCACACUUGACUAUUUACGGCCUACUGUUUCAACACUUGAUUCGUCGUUUUACUCCGGUUCUCGGGCUACCCCAACAUCGAUAGCGGGGGAAGCCACAUGUACUUGGUCCGUUUUGCGGUGACAGUUACACUCGCUACUGCUCGCUUACCCGUCGCUGUAUUACGUGGUACCGUACUGCUAAUCUAGUCGCUAUACUAACAACGCCACCUGUUACGGUUCCUAGUAAAGAAAAACAGCUAACAACACACCCUAAGAUACAGUUAUAAAAGACCUUUGAAGACAAAAGAACUAAGUUUAAUAAAUUCUUUAACACUUAAAACCACGGAAAACAUUCAUUUACAGUCACAGUUCCGCGGAAAACAUAUAAAGUUCAUUAAGAAUCUUGCAACGGUUGCUUGAAUAACAAUACCACAACAAGAUUUGGAACUUUGAAAACCCCGUAAUGUACGAUGUAUAGUAUACUUUACAUAGUAAACUUACGUAACUUAGAAG